rnacentral:snRNA from 1 species
GGAUGUGAGGGCGAUCUGUCACCACAUUGAUCACCAGGGGUGAUUCGGCUGAUCUGGCUGGCCAGGCGAGUGUCCCUUUCCUCUCUCACGGCUCCAGGUGCGUCCUUCCCGAAGCUUCCCCGAAUAGAGGGCGGUCUUUGGUCAAGGGCGUACAAGCAGCUGCUACAACCUCCAAACAGGCUCUCAAGAUAAUGGAUCAACACAUUACGUACAGCAAUAAAUAACCUUUAGAUUUUCUUUUGGCUGAGGUGUAGCUCAGGGGUAAAG